AUUUGAACGCUGGCGGCAUGCCUUACACAUGCAAGUCGAACCGGCAGCGCGGGCUUCGGCCUGGCGGCGAGUGGCGGACGGGUGAGUAAUGCAUCGGAACGUGCCCAGGAGUGGGGGAUAACGUAGCGAAAGUUACGCUAAUACCGCAUACGUACUGAGGUAGAAAGCGGGGGAUCGAAAGACCUCGCGCUCAUGGAGCGGCCGAUGUCGGAUUAGCUAGUUGGUGAGGUAAAAGCUCACCAAGGCGACGAUCCGUAGCUGGUCUGAGAGGACGACCAGCCACACUGGGACUGAGACACGGCCCAGACUCCUACGGGAGGCAGCAGUGGGGAAUCUUGGACAAUGGGGGAAACCCUGAUCCAGCAAUGCCGCGUGUGGGAUGAAGGCCCUCGGGUUGUAAACCACUUUUGGCAGGAAAGAAAUCGCCUGUGCUAAUACCAUGGGCGGAUGACGGUACCUGCAGAAUAAGCACCGGCUAACUACGUGCCAGCAGCCGCGGUAAUACGUAGGGUGCGAGCGUUAAUCGGAAUUACUGGGCGUAAAGCGUGCGCAGGCGGUUUUGUAAGACAGAUGUGAAAUCCCCGGGCUUAACCUGGGAACUGCAUUUGUGACUGCAAGACUAGAGUGUGUCAGAGGGAGGUGGAAUUCCGCGUGUAGCAGUGAAAUGCGUAGAGAUGCGGAAGAACACCGAUGGCGAAGGCAGCCUCCUGGGAUAACAC
rnacentral:rRNA from 1 species